GUAACGCGUGGAUAAUCUGCCCUUAUGAUCGGGAUACAGUUGGAAACGGCUGCUAAUACCGGAUACGCUCAAAAUGAACUUUUUGAGGAAAGAUGGCCUCUGCUUGCAUGCUAUCACGUAGGAUGAGUCCGCGUCCCAUUAGCUUGUUGGCGGGUAACGCCCACCAAGGCAACGAUGGGUAGCCGAUUUGAGAGGAUGAUCGGCCACACUGGAACUGAAACACGGUCCAGACUCCUACGGGAGGCAGCAGUGGGGAAUAUUGCGCAAUGGGCGAAAGCCUGACGCAGCGACGCCGCGUGAGGGAUGAAAAGGGUUUUCGGAUCGUAAACCUCUGUCAGAAGGGAAGAAACUACGUUGUGCUAAUCAGCAGCGUACUGACGGUACCUUCAAAGGAAGCACCGGCUAACUCCGUGCCAGCAGCUGC
rnacentral:rRNA from 1 species